rnacentral:rRNA from 1 species
AACGAACGCUGGCGGCAUGCCUAACACAUGCAAGUCGAACGAGACCUUCGGGUCUAGUGGCUCACGGGUGCGUAACGCGUGGGAACCUGCCCUUAGGUUCGGAAUAACUCCCCGAAAGGGGUGCUAAUACCGGAUAAUGUCUUCGGACCAAAGAUUUAUCGCCUUUGGAUGGGCCCGCGUUGGAUUAGCUAGUUGGUAGGGUAAAAGCCUACCAAGGCGACGAUCCAUAGCUGGUCUGAGAGGAUGAUCAGCCACACUGGGACUGAGACACGGCCCAGAAUACUACGGGAGGGAGGAGUGGGGAAUAUUGGACAAUGGGCGAAAGCCUGAUCCAGCAAUGCCGCGUGAGUGAUGAAGGCCUUAGGGUUGUAAAGCUCUUUUACACGGGAUGAUAAUGACAGUACCGGGAGAAUAAGCACCGGCUAACUCCGUG